rnacentral:rRNA from 1 species
GCCAAUGCAUGCUUUUACAGUAUGAAAAUUGGUGAUUUAUAAUAACUUAGCAAAUCGCAUAGUGAAAACAGGCGAUAAAUCAUUCAAGUUUCUGACCUAUCAGCUUUCGACGGUAUGGUAUUGGCUUACCGUGGCAGUGACGGUUAACGGGGGAUUAGGGUUCGAUUCCGGAGAGGGAGCCUGAGAAACGGCUACCACAUCUAAGGAAGGCAGCAGGCGCGCAAAUUACCCAAUUCUAACAGUUUGAGAGAGGUAGUAACAAGAAAUAACAAUACAAGGCAGUUAAAAUGCUUUGUAAUUGGAAUGAUAGAAAUUUAAACCCUUUUUAAAGUAUCAAUUGGAGGGCAAGUCUGGUGCCAGCAGCCGCGGUAAUUCCAGCUCCAAUAGCGUAUAUUAAAAUUGUUGCAGUUAAAAAGCUCGUAGUUGAAGUUCUGCUAAAAGUAACCGGUCUGCUUUGAAUAAAAGUGGUAUCUUGGUAUGUAUUUAGCAAUGAUGUCCUUUGAAGUGUUUUUUACUUUAUUGUAAUAAAGCAUAUUCAGGACUUUUACUUUGAGAAAAUUAGAGUGUUUCUAGCAGGCCAACGCUUUGAAUACUGCAGCAUGGAAUAAUAA